rnacentral:ncRNA from 1 species
UAUCUGGUUGAUCCUGCCAGUAGUCAUAUGCUUGUCUCAAAGAUUAAGCCAUGCAUGUCUAAGUAUAAGCACUUGUACUGUGAAACUGCGAAUGGCUCAUUAAAUCAGUUAUCGUUUAUUUGAUUGUACCUUUACUACUUGGAUAACCGUGGUAAUUCUAGAGCUAAUACAUGCGAAAAGUCCCGACUUCUGGAAGGGAUGUAUUUAUUAGAUUCAAAACCAAUGCGGGUUCUGCCCGGUCAUUUGGUGAUUCAUAGUAACUGUUCGAAUCGCAGGGCCUCGCGCCGGCGAUGUUUCAUUCAAAUUUCUGCCCUAUCAACUGUCGAUGGUAAGGUGUUGGCUUACCAUGGUUACAAGCGG